rnacentral:rRNA from 1 species
AUUGAACGCUGGCGGCAGGCCUAACACAUGCAAGUCGAGCGGAUGACAGGAGCUUGCUCCUGAAUUCAGCGGCGGACGGGUGAGUAAUGCCUAGGAAUCUGCCUGGUAGUGGGGGACAACGUUUCGAAAGGAACGCUAAUACCGCAUUCGUCCUACGGGAGAAAGCAGGGGACCUUCGGGCCUUGCGCUAUCAGAUGAGCCUAGGUCGGAUUAGCUAGUUGGUGAGGUAAUGGCUCACCAAGGCGACGAUCCGUAACUGGUCUGAGAGGAUGAUCAGUCACACUGGAAAUGAGACACGGUCCANNCUCCUACGGGAGGCAGCAGUGGGGAAUAUUGGACAAUGGGNGAAAGCCUGAUCCANCCAUGCCGCGUGUGUGAAGAAGGUCUUCGGAUUGUAAAGCACUUUAAGUUGGGAGGAAGGGCAUUAACCUAAUACGUUAGUGUUUUGACGUUACCGACAGAAUAAGCACCGGC